rnacentral:rRNA from 1 species
CCUACGGGAGGCAGCAGUGGGGAAUUUUGGACAAUGGGGGCAACCCUGAUCCAGCCAUUCCGCGUGAGUGAAGAAGGCCUUCGGGUUGUAAAGCUCUUUCGCAAGGGAAGAAAACUUAUGAUCGAAUAAAUCAUGAGGUUGACGGUACCUUGAUAAGAAGCACCGGCUAACUACGUGCCAGCAGCCGCGGUAAUACGUAGGGUGCGAGCGUUAAUCGGAAUUACUGGGCGUAAAGCGUGCGCAGGCGGUUUUGUAAGUCGGAUGUGAAAUCCCCGGGCUCAACCUGGGAACUGCGUUCGAAACUGCAAGGCUAGAGUGUGUCAGAGGGGGGUAGAAUUCCACGUGUAGCAGUGAAAUGCGUAGAGAUGUGGAGGAAUACCAAUGGCGAAGGCAGCCCCCUGGGAUAACACUGACGCUCAUGCACGAAAGCGUGGGGAGCAAACAGGAUUAGAUACCCUGGUAGUCCACGCCCUAAACGAUGUCAACUAGUUGUUGGUAGAGUAAAAUCUAUGAGUAACGUAGCUAACGCGUGAAGUUGACCGCCUGGGGGAGGUACGGUCGCGAGAGUUAAACUACAAUAGAAGUAGACGGCGUGAGACGNGCCGACGGACGACGACGAGGGAGGAGG